UGAUUUGAGUUCAGACCGGUGAAAACCAGGUCGGUUUCUAUCUUUUUUAAUUCUAUAUUAGUACGAAAGGACCAUACAGUCAUUUAUCA
rnacentral:rRNA from 1 species